UUGUGAAUGACUUUGAAGUAGAAAUAUUUGGUUUUGGUAAAAGAAGCUGAAAAACAUACCAGUUUUCACUUACACAAAUUUUUUUUCUCUGUCUGUGAGGCUCCUCCAGAAGGUUGGAAAGACUUUCAGGCUCUACAGUGCCUAAAUAUAACUGACACAUGAUCUCAUUGUGAAACUUAAUGAACAUUUGAGUCUGGACAUAAAGACCGCUGAGAUUAGGGUAUGUGUUAGAUCUGUAUAACAUCAAGUUAAAGAUUGUGAUGGCAACUUCCUCUUUUCUUUCAGCAUUUCUUAAUAUUCACAUGAUUUUUGAAUUGUCAAAUUAAUAUUUCUAAUUCAGCUUUGUUGUGUUCCAUAUCCAGAAAUAACAAGUUGUUGAAGAAAGUGAUGUGGAGCCAAAAAAAAAAAAAUGCUAAACUACUGUGCUUCUUUGCUUAGUGAAUGCAAAGAUUGAGAGUUCUUGAGGGUUUCCCUCAGCUUGAAAAUGAAAGCAGGGAUUAACCAUGCAUUGUCAAAGCUACACUUCCAAGAUACUGGAGUUCUGCCCGGAGGUGAGUGGCUAAUUUUCUGAAAACUUAAUAUUGUGAGUGUCUUUCCAGGAUGAUACAGAUGAAGAUGGGUACUUGAACUGCUGGCAAGUUUUGAUGGCCUUGAAAGAUGCUGCUUCAGAAGCACUGAUUUAUGCAGGAAGUAAAGCUAACAGAUCUCUCCCUUGAAAAAUGUGAGAGAAUGAUUUUAGAGAUUGUUGACUAUUAUGUAACAGAUGGCCUGACAGACCUCCGACUCUUUGCAGUGAUGGCUAGCUUGGCGUAGAAAAUAGCAGCACUGGAGUAAGCAUUCAGCGGCAUAGACGCUCAUGAAUUUUAACUCCUCAGUGACAAAGGAAUUCAAGGGGAAAUAUUUCUGUGCCUGGCCAGUCAUUGAAAACUUUUCCUGGUAAAGUAGAGGAAGAAGGGGGAAAAGACAUUCACCUCAGAAGAGCAUCCUCAAAACAAAUCAGUCAGGGACACACGUCUCUUCCCUCAGCACACCUCCAUCCUGCAGUCAUUGCUGUAAGACAGAGACUCUCCAUAGCACCUCUGGGACGUAGAACGCUAUCCACUCCCUGCCAGAUCUUCUUGAUGUUGAGUUUUCCAAAGACAUUUUCUCAAAGGGAGAGCACAAUGAAGAGGCCAGCCAGCAGCUCCAGUCUCAGUCGGAGAUCACAACUGUCCAGUGAGGCUGAGAAGCAGGGAGAUAUGUCCUCCCCUCCCCACUGCCAACAUGUGGGCCUGGAGUGCUCUCAGGAAACGUUCAUCACCAGCUCUGGCCAGAAGAUGAAACUGGGCAGAUGAUAUGUUUCAAUGUCUCUUAUUUGUAGUAGUGGUAAAUUUCUUCUCUCUUUUUUAGGGCUAUCAGAAGGCAAAAAGGUAGAGGUUAGGGAGCUGAUACUUCGGCAAAGUGAUGACCUGUGCUCAUACAGUGGUGGUUUCACUUUGUGUGUUAGCUGUUUGCAGCAGUGUCUCAGAGGACAGGGUGUUUGGGGGGUUUUCAACCCCACGUAACCAAUCUGAUGAUGACAUAGUCACUUUUCAUCUUAAUGGGUCUAUCCUGCAAUUCUGGUGAAAUAUUUGGUAUCCAUGAAUCAAAACAGAAAGUAGCUGACUUUCAUUUUUAACAUAGCUAUGGAAGUACUUUCCAUGCACUUUUUUUUUCCCCCUUAAUAAUGCUCUCAAAACUCUUUCUACAUAAGAUUUGAUAACUAGAAGGCAAUACUUUGCAGUUUAAUAGUUUGUGGAACUUUUCUAAUUGUUAAUACAACUCUGCUAGCUGAGGAGUACAGAAACAUAGAAUUCUCCUGCUGAAAUCACAUCUGAUAUGCCCGGAUUUCUCUGAUAGGAAUCGUGCUGUAUUUCUUUAUUUUUUCCAGGCUAAUGUUUAUAUUAGCAUGGACAAACAACAACAAAGAAAAAAUAUGCAUCUUUUUUGCAUUAUUUCUUGUUAAAUUUGUCUUCUUUAGACUAGCCACUUUCUGAACUUCAGGCAAACAAAGAUAGGCAUAACACAUGUCUAAAAUCAGUGAGAGGCAAAUGCGGCACAGUCCUUUGCUUCUUUGUGAGUCAAAUGCUCCAGCCCCCUAAUAAACAUCUGCAAAAAAAGAAAAAAAGAAAAAAAAGAAAAGUCAUUUUGAUUGGGUGUCACAUGUGAGAACUACCUGAGGGCAAAUAAAUGUGAGGGUCACAUUCUUAUCAGCCCCUUCUGAUAAUAAUAGCCCGUUUGCUAGGCACAGUCUGCUAGUGUUGGCCCAGUGGGUCAGAUAACAAUCCCCAGGCUCUCCCUCUCUUCCCCUGCUGUGACCCGGCCCAUCUGCUUCUCUCUGGCCAUAUGGUACAGAAGUAUUUGGGACUGGAGACAUUAUCGCUUUAUGCAUCUGAAUGUUCUUUGCUUUCACUGAAACUUCAACGUAAAGAUAUUGCUUUGAAUACGCCCUGACAAAAGUUUUUGUUGGUGGUGGUGGUUUGGGUUUUCAUUUCAGAGUUUAAAUGAACAACGGUGUUUGUGUCAACAGAAUAUAUCUAACAGAUAGAUGUGCAGGUAAGAAAGCUGAUUGCAUGUUGUCUCCCCAGCUUGCCUCAAAUGCAAUAUUAUUUAGUCUGCCUCUUAAGAAUGAAAACAGACUCCAGAAUAUGCAAAAGAAGACUUUUGCUUGUUGUUAUUAUGCCUGUGUGUUGCGUCUUCCACGUAGUGCAGCUGUGGCAUUGCACUGCAAAGCAAAGGCAAGAAGCCCAUUGGAACAAACUGUACUGCACCAGGAAGCCCUCCUCUCCUCUGGACCAGGUAAGGAGGUCCCGGGGCUUUGUCACUGCCUUGCUCUGGCCAAGGAGCAUACAGGUACAUCCUCCCUGAGUGCACUGUAAACUUCCAAUUAGGCCUAAUGAGGGCUCAGCCCAGGCAGCAAAGGAGGGAGAGACAAUAGCAAAUGCACAGUGCUUCAUGUUCCCUUUACCAAGAGAAGGAUGUAAUUAUUGUGUGGUCUUUAGCAUAACAAAGUCCAUACAGUGGCCAGCGUCCUGGGUCCCUUCUCAGCUGGGACCUCUGGACAUUGUUGCAAGCACCUUCAUAAUGGUAGUCUGAACUGGAAAAUUUAAACAGGGAUUACUAUGCAAACGUUACCCCAACAAGCUGAUUUACAAAUUGUUUGAGGGAAAUGUCCAGUGGCACAGUUGCCGUUCAGUCUGUGUAACGAUUUUAAAUAGCAAUAAGAAACCAAAUUUACCCCCCCAUGGAAGCUGGCUCUAUAUCCAUGUCAUUCUUUCCCCUCGUAUUUCUUAUAUGGUCUCCUCAUGUUUUCA